AUUUUAGACAUCACUUCUAGAGUGAAAUUACCUGCAUUAGCAGCUGCUGCAGUUUCAAUAUCUGCACCGCUAAGAUCAUCAGGCUUCUCAUAACGAGCACGCUUAAAAUUCACAUUAUGGCUACUCCCAAAGAAGACCAUGGUGAAGAAGACCCUGGGUGACCUUGUACUUCUUGUCAGCUAUCGCAUUCUUGUUUUUAGAAAGACCAAAACUCUGACCAGCUUGUCGCAAACUAAGACUCCCACCAACCGGUCGCAAGCUAGGAGACUUCUCAAUUCCCACUUCAGAAAGCAAAACUUCUCUUCUCAGACCUGGCGAUAUGUCUCUCUAGACUGACACAAUAAAAACUGUCUUUUUAUUAAAGGGACGUUUAUUGAAGAUAGCAUAAAUAUUGGCCAAAGAAGUCCGAAGACAUGUUGCACUAGUCCUCGGCCAACUGUAUUGCACAUGGAUAAACUGCUAUAUAGUAAUGUUCUUAGAAUUCCUGGCCAACUCAAGUGACUCGGAAAACGAAAAACAAAAGCACUACUAGGAUGUCAAACCAGUAUCAUAUCAAAACAUAAAUGGAGCUAGAGAAGAUAAAAAAUUUCAAGCCUCGCAAAUGUCAAAGCCAUUUCCACGCACGAUACUUGAGGGGGCAAUUGUUGAGCCAUAUAUUUUGACAAACAAAAUAUAAUAGCAAGUCUUAUUAAAAGCAGGGAGACUUAGAGAUAAAAAACAAUUAAAAAAAAAAUCUACACCAGCACGCACGUGGACUAUGACAAGUCUGAUGGAGUUUGUCAACUACGUGGCAACCAAAUAUAGAGAUCAUGUGUGUUUAGAACUCUCCAAAACUCCCACGUUCUCCACUCAAGUGAUGGCUUUCUCUCAGCAUCUCUACACCCUAGGAAAAUAGCAUCCCACUAACUUCAACUGCCAUGUCCACCGUUCGCCUAUAAAAAGGCAUCCAACCAAAGCAAACGGGGGGAGAAGACACAAAAAGAAGAAGAGAGACUCUGCAGAAAUUGAGAAGAAAUUGAGAGAAAAGAUAGCAACGAAGGGGAGUGACAAUAAAACGCUGCAGAAAUUGAAGCACACAGAGAAGAACAAAGGAAAAAAGGGAAAACAAGGAAGACGGCAAAGGGAGCAAAAGUACAAUAGGAAAAGAAAGAAGACUUGGCUCUUCUUAGUUUCACCAAAGCAAAGAAAAACGUGAAAGUUCCACCAUCACAGCCAUCAGAACGAUAAACCUUCCUCCUUCCACCUUGAAUUUCCAAGGCUACACCACUUCUCUCUUGGAUCCUCCACCAGGGAGCUCUCCCCUUUCCUUGCUCACAUCCUCUUGUACCAUUCCCGGAGCCGUUCCUGAUCUAAAAGCACAGCUACUGCAGCAAUCACUACCGCCAGUGUUAACUUCUUCCAUCCCCCAACGUCCUCUCGAGUUGCAACCCAACAAACCGCAACAAAACCACCACAUCCCUCUGCCGCCGAGGUGAUAUACAACGGAGAUUUCAGCAAAACACGCUGAAUGGAUUCAAUCCAAUUUCAAAAGGAAGAACCAGUUGCAUGGGUGCCCAAAGAAGUUUGGAAGUCUGAUUUGCAUGGAGGAACAAUGCCUACCCACCGUGCCGACCGAUGGUUCGAAAUUCUUCAACAACACCGUCGGCCACAUCAGCCACACCGUCCUCUGAUCCAUAAGCCCAGCGUCGCAGCAUGCUGCAUUUUCUCACUGACGGCAUAAAAGAAUGUUGUCAUGAACGAAGUCCUCCGCAGUGGAGGCCGAAGUUGAAAUGGUUGCUACUGCUCAGUUUUAGGAGCUCAUUUCGAAGAACUCGACGGUUACUGCUGCUCCAUUUUAGGAGCUCAUUUCGAAGAAUUUGGCGGUUACUACUACUCGGUUUUAGGAGCUCAUUGGGAAACUUCGAAUCAGGAGGAAUACGACUCGAAAAAUUUGGCACAAAGUCAGAGAAAGAAGUCACACCAAAAGGAAGGAUGCUUCCAGCAAAGGGAAAACAAAAAAAAAAAAAAAACCGCCGUCGCAGUCGUCGUCUUGGAGUUGAGAAGAAAAGAGGUUGCUGACGAAAAAGAAGAAGGAGAAGCAAAGUCCUAUUUGAACUUGAAAAGCUUAAUUCACAAAAAAAAAAAAAAAAGAAAUAAAAAGAAAGAGAGAAUAAAACUCGCUGACAACUUCAUUGGUAAAGGCACUCACGUGAAAAUCAAAAGGGAAAAGCCAUCUCAAAGACUUUUUUUUUUGGAAACCAUCUCAAAGACUCUUUGCUGUGCUGCUCUAUUACACUAGGAACUCAAGAAUAUCAUAAUAUUUCACAAAGAAAUAAUGUGGAGAGAGGAUGCCUCACGUCAUUGGUAUGUGAAGAGGAAAUUAUGGUAAUCUCACAAGAAGACAAACACAGGCAACAACCCUCGUUGAUCACAAAGAAGAUAAUUAGGAAAAAACUAAUUUUCUAUAACGACAAGUUCUUUUCGAAACUUGUUGAAAGAAGAAAUAUGCAACUCAUGAUGACACUUUAUCUU